rnacentral:rRNA from 1 species
GACGAACGCUGGCGGCGUGCUUAACACAUGCAAGUCGAGCGAUGAAACACCUUCGGGUGCGGAUUAGCGGCGAACGGGUGAGGAACACGUGAGGAAUCUGCCUUCCACUCUGGGAUAACUCCGGGAAACCGGGGCUAAUACCGGAUACUUUCAACUGGCGGCAUAGCCGGUUGAAGAAAGUUUUUCGGUGGAAGAUGACCUCGCGGCCUAUCAGCUUGUUGGUGAGGUAAAGGCUCACCAAGGCGACGACGGGUAGCCGGCCUGAGAGGGCGACCGGCCACACUGGGACUGAGACACGGCCCAGACUCCUACGGGAGGCAGCAGUGGGGAAUAUUGGGCAAUGGAGGAAACUCUGACCCAGCGACGCCGCGUGAGGGAUGAAGGCCUUCGGGUUGUAAACCUCUUUCAGCAGGGAAUAAGCGAAAGUGAAGGUACCUGCAGAAGAAGCACCGGCUAACUGUGUGCCAGCCGCCGCAGUAA